UACAGGGGGUGCAACCGUUGCUCGGAAUUAUUGGGCGUAAAACGCACGUAGGCGGUUCGUUAUGUCAGAUGUGAAAGCCCUUGGCUCAACUGAGGAAGUGCAUCUGAAACUGGCGAGCUAGAGUAUGUAAGAGGGUCGCGGAAUUCCCGGUGUAGAGGUGAAAUUCGUAGAUAUUCGCAAGAACACCAGUGGCGAAGGCGGCUCACUGGCCCGGUACUGACGCUGAGGUGCGAAAGCGUGGGAAGCAAACAGG
rnacentral:rRNA from 1 species